CUUCAAUUUUUUAAAAAAAAUAACCAGAAGGCCUAGAGCUUAGAUAUCUGACUUGUAGCAUUGCCUAGUGGACCUCUACAAAAUUUGUUCAAAUCAUGACCCCCGGGGUCAAAAUUGACCCUGCCCCAGGGGUCACUUGAUUUUACAUAGGAAAAUCUUCAAAAUUUUUCUAAAAAUAAACCAGAAGGCCUAGAUCUUAGAUAUUUGACAUAUAGCAUUGCCUAGUAGACUUCUACAAAAUUGUUCAAAUCAUGACCCCCAGGGUUAAAUUGACCCCGCCCCAUGGGGUUACUUGAUUGUACAUAGAAAAAUCUUCAAAAUUUUCUAAAAAUAAACCAGAAGGCGUAGAGCUUAGAUAUUUGACAUGUAGCAUUGCCUAGUGAACCUCUACAAAAUUUGUUGAAAUCUUGACCCCCAGGGUCAAAUUGACACAGCCCCAGGGGUUACUUGAUUGUACAUAGGGAAAUCUUCAUAAAUUUGCUAAAAAUAAACCAGAAGGCCUAGAUCGUAGAUAUUUGAUAUGUAAUAUUGCCUAGUAGACUUCUACAAACUUUGUUCAAAUCAUAACCCCCGGGUAAAAUUGGCCCCGCUCCAGGGGUUACUUGAUUGUACAUUGGAAAAUCUUCCAAAAAAUUUCUACAAAUCAUCAGUUUGACAUUUGAAACAUGUAGCUCAUAUUACUCAGGUGAGUGCUCCAGGGUCAACAUGACCCUCUUGUUGUAUGUAAGCUGGUAUCUCACUACUCACUCAUUGGAAUGGAUUGAAACUUAACACACUUGUUCUAUGUGAUGAUCUGACAUGCAUUUUACAGGUUCCAUAAACCUGUUAUGCAUUUUUACAAAGUUAUGCCCAUUUUUUUGACUUAGCCAUUUUUGGGUAAGUUUUAAGCUGGUAGCUCAGUACCCACUUAUGGGAAUGUAUUGAACUUCACACACUUAUGCACUGUGGUGAGUUGACAUUCAUUUUACAGGUUACAGAACCAUGUUUUGCAUUUUUACAAAACUAUGCCCCUUUUUCAACAUUCAUAUUUAUUCAAUUGACAAGGUUGUUGAAUAAUACAGCGUUGCUGUCUUCCGACAGCUCUUGGUUUGUUUUUUUGGCCUUAAGUAAAGAAGUGGAUGAAAUUGGGAGCAGAAUUUCAUUGUACAUGUAUGGCUCCAAAAAUACUAGAUCAGAAUGAUGUCAACAUAACCGUGUUUUUUAUAAGAACAUUCCUCUGAAUAAUUUAUGAGUGCAUAGACUUCUAGUAAGUUAUUCUGCAUAAUAUCUGAGUAUGAAAUUAAGUCUUAUCAUUUUGAUUCUGUAGUGCCUUUUAUAUGAAAUAGUGGAACAAAUGUGAUAACCCACAUAUGAACAAGCUUUAUGUGCAGAUGACCAAAAAGGAAGGAACUUUUGCUGUGACUAUUUUUACCGCAAUCAUGGCCCUUUGAUAGUUUUGCUAUAUAGAAUAUAGAGAAAAAUCUUGUGUCCAACUCCUCGAACCCUAUUGAAGGGAUAUGCUUGAAAGUUUCACAUAUGAAGGACCUUGAAUUUUAAGGUUACAUAAAUAAUAUUCUUUUUCUAUGGCUUUUUUUUCUAGAAUUAUGGCCCUUUCUAAAUUUCACAGUAUAGACCGUAGUGUAGAAAUUUGGUGUGUUCAACUCCUCAUACACUUUCUGAAUGAAUGGGUUCAAAGUUGCUCAGAUACACAAUCUUUCUUGAAUACAAUUUGCUUCAAACUGUGAAGAUGGUCUGUACUAAAAACUUGGCUAUUUAGAAGAUGGCACAGUAUGUGGGGGUAUCUGUGCACACAAUGCAAGUUUUACAUAGUAGAAUUUAUAGUCAUAUUUGUAUUACAUUCCAUAACAGAUGUAUGUGAUAAAUGAAAGGUUUCAGUUUGACUGUCCUGUUCGUGGUUGAGAUAUUGGUGCAUGCAGCAUGUACAUUGCAAACACUGAUACAGUUAGAACAUUCCUGAUUUCACACUUUGAAUGUGUAUGCAGAAAUGUGUAUAUGUAUGAAAUAUCAGCUUUUUUGUUACAAUGCAAAAAUAGUUCUCAUUUCUCAGACACAUUCUGGGUUGUGAACAGAAAUAUAUUGAAAUUGAGCAAUUUGUUAAACAAAGUUUUAACCACUCUUAAUUUAUUUAGAAUCUUUUAGCCAUAUAUUUGAUGUUUAACUGUUUGAGACAUAUGUAUCAGUUUAACAGGCAUGUUUAAUCUUUGAGAAUAUAAAUCAAUGUUAUUAAAGAUAUUGGUUUGUGUCUUUUAAAAUCCUACUAUAAUAUAUAUACUUUUCAUUGUUUACCUGAUGGGGUACAGUAAUUACAUGAAAAUUUCAUAAGUUUAUAGCAAUAAGGGCUUCUGAAACUGUCGUAUUUAGUUUGCAUAAACAAUAACAUACAUUUGAAGGGCCAUUUAAUGAAUUGCCGUAUUUAGAAGAAGUUGAAAUGUGCCUUGAUGUAAAUGUAAAAUUCCACUGACAAAACUGUUGGAAACAUGUAGGUGAACCAGGUAAAUGAAAUCUGUAUGUUUUGUAUAAGGAUUGAAUCUCAGUAUGGUAACAGUUCUUUACAAUAUGAUAUUUAAUUUUGAUAGCCACUUACUUUCAAUGACAUUUAUGCUGUUAUUUUAUUUUUUUAUAUACCGGUAUAUAUAUUUCUAAGAGUAUUUUUUAUAUGUACAAAAAAGGAAAGACAUAUCACUUUUUUAUCAUUCUAUGAUAAAUUGUCAUCAGAAUAGAAAUCAUGUUUUGCAUUUUGUUUGGAAUGAUGGGAUAAUGGGUGAAUUCUUGUCCAUUCAUAUAGGGAUUUUGUAAUAACUUGGCAUAAAUGUUCAUCAUAAUGAGACGAUGUGUCAUGCGCAAGACCUAGACCCCUAGCUCCAAGGUCAAGGUCACACAUAGAGGUCAAAGGUUAACAUGAUCUGUUUCGUGUCCAGUACUUAACUCUGCCAUCCAUGAAGGGAUUUUGAAUUAACUUGGCAUAAAUGUUUACCAUAAUGAGACCUAGCUCCAAGGUCAGGACUUAGAAAUCAAAGGUUAACAGGGUCUGUUUCAUGUCUGGUUCAUAACUCUGCUAUUCAUCAAGGGAUUUUGAAAUUAUUUGACAUAAAUGUUCCCAAUAAUGAAACAACAUGUCAUGCACAAAUCCCGGAUCCCUAGCUCUAAGGUCAAGGUGAAAAGAAAUGAUUCUUACCUAAACUAUUCUAGCAUAUUUUGCGCAGACAGCUGUAGCAUUCAUGGGUAUGCUUUGGGGGCAUUAGUCAUCAAUAGUGACAGCUCAUGUUAUUUGUAUGUUGAAAUCCAGUAACUGAUAUCUGUGAGUAAUAGCCUAUUUAUGCCCCCAGCAUCUACCGAUGUGGGAGGCAUAUAGUGAUUGUCCUGUCCAUCCAUCUGUCCAUUCGUUCGUUCGUUUGUUCGUCCGUUCGUUUGUCUGUACGAGAUUAACCAAAUGGGACCGUUUCGUCUAGCAUCAAUACCGCUUACAAGAAUGAAUUGAUACUAAUACAGAUGUAACCUGUGACCAUUCCUCAUCUUCAAACAUCACAUGACCUCAGUUUGACCUUGACCUUGACCUCGUUUUGGACUUAGGUUGCUUUGUAUCGACAAGGAUGCCACCGGGGGCAUCAAGCGUUUAUUGAACGCAGCUCCUUGUUUGUUAAUGUUUUUAAAUAAUGCUUUAAGUAGGGGCAAAAAUCACAUUUAGUGAUAGCUGUAUACAGCUGUUCAGUAGAUUUAUGAUAUUCUUGAUAGCUAAACUCUUUGAUCUUGUUUUGUUAAAGUUCUUGUUCACAAAAUGUUUGAUUUUUACUUUAAUAUUAACAAAUGAGUUUAACUGAUACAUAGGAAUGAAACUGUGAUUAAAUCACUAUUAUGUAUUUUGUUCACCUGCUGUGAUAUGUAUGAAUUACGCAGAUUUUAUAACAAUAAAGAUGUAUUUUUGA